UACGUAGGCAGCAAGCGUUGUUCGGAAUUACUGGGCGUAAAGGGUGCGUAGGCGGCUUUUUAAGUUUGGUGUGAAAUCUCCCGGCUCAACUGGGAGGGUGCGCCGAAUACUGAGAAGCUAGAGUGUGGGAGAGGAAAGUGGAAUUCCUGGUGUAGCGGUGAAAUGCGUAGAUAUCAGGAGGAACACCGGUGGCGAAGGCGGUCUGCUGGGCAGUUGCUGACGCUGAUGCGCGAAAGCGUGGGGAGCGAUCCGG
rnacentral:rRNA from 1 species